GAACGCGUGGCGGCAUGACUUAACACAUGACAAGUCGACGGUAACAGGUCUAGCUUGCUAGAUGCUGACGAGUGGCGGACGGGUGAGUAACGCGUGGGAAUCUGCCUUCUAGUGGGGGAUAGCCCGGAGAAAUCCGGAUUAAUACCGCAUACGCCCUACGGGGGAAAGCCGGGGAUCUUCGGACCUGGCGCUAGUAGAUGAGCCCGCGUGAGAUUAGCUUGUUGGUGGGGUAAUGGCCUACCAAGGCAACGAUCUCUAGCUGGUCUGAGAGGACGAUCAGCCACACUGGGACUGAGACACGGCCCAGACUCCUACGGGAGGCAGCAGUGGGGAAUAUUGGACAAUGGGCGAAAGCCUGAUCCAGCAAUGCCGCGUGUGUGAAGAAGGCCUGAGGGUUGUAAAGCACUUUCAAUCGUGAAGAAAAGUUGCAGGCUAAUACCCUGUGACCUUGACGUUAACGAUACAAGAAGCACCGGCUAACUCCGUG
rnacentral:rRNA from 1 species